UGAACGCUGGCGGCGUGCUUAACACAUGCAAGUCGAACGAACCUUCGGGUUAGUGGCGGACGGGUGAGUAACGCGUGAGAAUCUGCCCUCAGGAGGGGGAUAACAGCUGGAAACGGCUGCUAAUACCCCAUAUGCCGCGAGGUGAAAUGAAUUUCGCCUGAGGAUGAGCUCGCGUCUGAUUAGCUAGUUGGUGUAGGUAAUGGCUCACCAAGGCAUCGAUCAGUAGCUGGUCUGAGAGGAUGAUCAGCCACACUGGGACUGAGACACGGCCCAGACUCCUACGGGAGGCAGCAGUGGGGAAUUUUCCGCAAUGGGCGAAAGCCUGACGGAGCAACGCCGCGUGAGGGAUGAAGGCCUCUGGGCUGUAAACCUCUUUUAUCAAGGAAGAAGAUCUGACGGUACUUGAGAAUAAGCCACGG
rnacentral:rRNA from 1 species